rnacentral:rRNA from 1 species
AUUGAACGCUGGCGGCAGGCCUAACACAUGCAAGUCGAACGGUAACAGGAAGAAGCUUGCUUCUUUGCUGACGAGUGGCGGACGGGUGAGUAAUGUCUGGGAAACUGCCUGAUGGAGGGGGAUAACUACUGGAAACGGUAGCUAAUACCGCAUAAUGUCGCAAGCCCAAAGAGGGGGACCUUCGGGCCUCUUGCCAUCGGAUGUGCCCAGAUGGGAUUAGCUAGUAGGUGGGGUAACGGCUCACCUAGGCGACGAUCCCUAGCUGGUCUGAGAGGAUGACCAGCCACACUGGAACUGAGACACGGUCCAGACUCCUACGGGAGGCAGCAGUGGGGAAUAUUGCACAAUGGGCGCAAGCCUGAUGCAGCGAUGCCGCGUGUAUGAAGAAGGCCUUCGGGUUGUAAAGUACUUUCAGCGGGGAGGAAGGGAGUAAAGUUAAUACCUUUGCUCAUUGACGUUACCCGCAGAAGAAGCACCGGCUAACUCCGUG